rnacentral:rRNA from 1 species
AUUGAACGCUGGCGGAAUGCUUUACACAUGCAAGUCGAGCGGCAGCACGGGGGCAACCCUGGUGGCGAGCGGCGAACGGGUGAGUAAUACAUCGGAACAUGCCCAGUCGUGGGGGAUAACACUUCGAAAGAAGUGCUAAUACCGCAUACGUCCUGAGGGGGAAAGCGGGGGAUCGCAAGACCUCGCGCGAUUGGAGUGGCCGAUGUCAGAUUAGCUAGUUGGUGGGGUAAAGGCCUACCAAGGCAACGAUCUGUAGCUGGUCUGAGAGGAUGAUCAGCCAACCGGGGACUGAGACCGGGCCCAGACCCCUAGGGGGGGCAGAGGGGGGAAAUUUUGGAAAAGGGGGGAAACCCUGACCCAGCCAUUCCGGGGGAGUGAAGAAGGCCUUCGGGUUGUAAAGCUCUUUCGGCAGGAACGAAACGGGGGGCUUUAAAAAAGCUUGCUAAUGACGGGACCUAAAAAAGAAGCACCGGUGACCUGCGU